UGUGUUUAUUCUCCCCAGUCCCUAGCUCCACCUUUUCUGCAACAAAUGUCAGCAUGGUGGUAUCUGCUGGCCCUUGGUCCAGUGAGAAGGCAGAGAUGAACAUCCUAGAAAUCAGUGAGAAUUUGCAUCCCCAGCUGGCAGAGAACAAACAGCAGUUCAGAAAUAUCAAAGAGAAAUUUCUUAUAACUCAAGUGGCCUACUUCCUGGCCAACCAGCAGAGCACAUACCAGUAUGAAGAGUGCAAAGACCUCAUAAAAUCUAUGCUGAGGGAUGAGCUUCAGUUCAAGGAGGAGAAGGUUGCAGAGCAGCUCAGGCAGGCUAAGGAGCUCAGGCAAUAUAAAGUCCUGGUUCACUCUCAGGAAUGAGAGCUGACCCAGUUAAGGGAGAAGUUAUGGGAAGGGAGAGAUGCCUCCUGCUCAUCAAAUCAGCAUCUCCAGGCCCUCCUCGCUCCGGAUGAGCCAGACAAGUCCCAGGGCAGGACCUCCAAGAACAGCUGGCUGAAGGGUGUAGGCUGGCACAGCACCUUGUCCAAAAGCUCAGCCCAGAAAAUGAUGAAGAUGAGGAUGAAGAUGUUAAAGUUGAGGAGGCUGAAAAAGUACAGGAAUCAUGUGCCCCCAGAGAGGUGCAGAAGGCUGAAGAAAGGGAAAUCCCUGAGGACUCACUGGAGGCAUGUGCCGUCCCUUGUUCAAAUAGCCACAGCCCUUGUGACUCCAACAAGCCACACAGAAACACCAAAAUCACAUUUGAGGAAGACAAAGUCGACUCAACUGUCAUUGACUCAUCUUCUCGUGAUGAAUGGGAGGAUGCUGUACAAAUUAUCCCAGGUAGCCUCUGUAUUCCUUUGAUUUGGCCAUAUGUGAAGUGUGAAUUGCUUAAUGUGACCUCUUCUCUGAAUUUAUUUACAGAAAAUGAAAGUGUUUAUGAGGAAGAGGAAGAAAAAGGGCCAGUGUCUCCCAGGCUCAGCAGGGAGCUGCUGGAAGAGAAAGAGCUGAAGUCUUACAGGACUCACUGGAUAGAUGUUAUUCGACUCCUCCUGGUUAUCUUGAACUGCCUGACUUAUGCCAGCCCUACAGAAGUGCCUUUUACUCAUUGGAGGAAGAGUACCUUGGCUUGGCUCUUGACGUGGACAGAAUUAAAAAGGACCAAGAAGAGGGAGAAGACCAAGGCCCACCAUGCCCCAGGCUCAGCAGGGAACUGCUGGAGGUAGUAGAGCCUGAAGUCUUGCAGGACUCACUGAAUAGUUAUUAUUUGACUCCUUCCAGUUAUCUUGAACUGCCAGAUUCAUGCCAGUCCUACGGAAAUUCCUUUUACUCAUUGGAGGAAUGACACAUUGGCUUUUCUCUUGAUGUGGACGAAACUGACAAGUACCAAGAAGGGGAAGAAGAUCAAAACACACCAAAUUCAAAACCCAUCAAAUUCACACAUAACAAUAUUAACCUUAAACGUAAAUGGGUAAAUGCCCCAAUUAAAAGACACAGCUGGGUUCGUCAGCAUGACCAGGAAGAUAAAGAUGAGAUUAAUGAGCUUCUUAACUAG